CUCCAGCCCAAUUAUUUUCAAGAUAGCUUAGCUGAAACAAGACAUCGUAAGCACCAAGUUUUGGUUAAAUCGGAGUAAAUAAAUUAACAGAAAAUGGACGAAGAAGAUCCUGCGGCGCCCGUGAAAAGCAGAAAAGAGCUGCGCAAGCAGAAGAUGAUGGAAUACUUGACCAUGAAAGGAAAGUCAAAACUGGCCGCAUCCAAGCCAAACCUCUGUGACGGUCCGGCCGGGAAGCCUCAGACUUUGCGACCAUCUGCACUCCAGCUCCUCAAGGGCAAAGAAAAUAAAACUCCCACCAUCAGUUGUAGACAGAAGGACAAAAACUCUCAACCUUUGGCUCCUCUCGCCAACCAAAAACCUUCCAGAAAAACAUUCUUUGCUCCAAACAAAGAGAAUCCCCAAAGCAGCAUCCGGACUGGCCCGCAGAAAGCAGGAGGUUUGCUUAGUCUUCGGUCGACGCUCACCGAAAAGCCAUCUUUCAAGGCGACGUACGGCGUUUCCUCCAAGUCCAGCCUGAAAGCAGACGGUCUUCCCACCAAGCAGACCAAAGUCAGGAUACCGCCCGCAGGGAAAGCAUCAUCCAAUGUCCACUUUCCACUUCCAAAAAACUCCAGCAGCACAUUUCGGGCUGCAUCAAAUACAGCCGGUUCUUUCCCGAUAAAGACUUACACCGUCAGGAUGAGUCUAGGGCCCAUGGUCAAAACCAGGACGGGCCUCAUACCCGCAAUGAUCCCACCCAAAGUCCCCACUCACAUAGCCAAUCCCAGCGCUGCUCCUUCGCGAUCUGGCGUCUCAUCUUCCCGCCCCGUCUCCAAAGCCCCCUCCGCGGCUCAGGUGAAGAAAAUCCCAGUCCGCCAGAGACCAGCUGUCUCUUGUUGGGUGGCCGACAAGUCUCGCCCCAAAGCCAACCUAGCCAAACAGUCGCAACCGUCUUCUCUAAAGCUGAAAUCAGCAUUCACCACCACCUCGUCGCGCACGGCGCUGCACAAACCACCCGGUCAGCCGGCAAAGCAGAGGCCCGAGCCCCAGGAGAGGCUGAUGAGCCAGCGCUCCAAAGCCCACGGAGGGGUGGCGGCGAGUGGAUUCGUCGCCAAGAUGGCCGGCAGAGCGCUUCCAGCUGCGGCACAGGCAGCGAAACCCAAGACGGGCAAAGAGACGGCAAAAGAAGACGCCUCAUUUAAGACCGAUCCAAAGAGAACAAACCCUGCGCCACCAGGGAAGGCCAACGCCAUCAGUCAGCCGAAGCCGCCUCCUGCUACGAAAGCACCAAAGCCCCAAACUGUGGAAAAGAAGGCGACUGCUGAGCAAGAAGAGAGAAUGAGGAAACUGCAGGCAUGGCGGGAAGCCAGGGGUAUUUCCUACAAGCGGCCUCCUAUGCCGGUGAAGCCUCCGGCCAGGCGUCCUGCGGCCUUGCCCCAACCUUUCUGGUCCACCUUGAAGGCGGAGGACGACGCUCGCUCCUUUAUCUACGCCGUGGAAAGAUCCCUGUCCGACUGCAUUAAGAUGCUUGCUGAGGGCUGUCGAGGCCAGCAGGUGAGGGAGGUCCUCUCUCGGCUGCCGCCCGUGUCCCAGAAGUUUGCCAAGUUCUGGAUCUGCAAGGCCCGCCUGAUGGAGCAAGAGGGCAACCUGGACGUCCUACCCAUGUUUGAGGAGGCCGUAGGUGUAGUGCUGGAGCCUGUGGACGAGCUACGCACGGUGGUGUUUGACAUCCUGAAGAAGAAGGAGGAGAGCCGAGCCUGUGAGGGUGACGGCAAAGAAGGGUGCCAAACUCCAAACCAAGUGGAAAGCUCUGCUGAGAGUAACAACGACAGCAACACGAUGGUGACUCCCCCGAAACCUGUCAGAGCCCUCAUCCACGGCGAGAAAGGACGCUCGUCUACCGUGAAGUACAAGAUCACAGCCACUCCUGGCACCCCUUCCAGCCAGCAGAGGGAGGCCAAGCGAGUGAACGGCCAGAAGGUGCUCUUCUUCACACCAGUGAGGCGCUCCGUGCGCAUCGAGACGGCGUCGCUGCAAUACCCGCCGUCCCUCCAGGAGCACGACCCCUGCGUGGCCUCGUACAGUGACCUGCUGGCCGCCGAAGAGGAGAAAGAGAGCGACACUGAACAGACGAGCUCCACCGACGGUGCGCCGAUGUACGUGUACAGGGAGAACGAGGCGCUCCAGGACAAAAUGUUUGUCCAACUUUUGAGGGAGGAGGAGGAGGCCUGACCACAACAUUGGGUACACCUGCCAGUGAGAUCCGAUGUAAGCGAUGUGUUUUAUAAGACAACCAUUCUCAAAACUAUUUGCAGCGGUGCAGCUGUGAGUAUUUUUACAACAAAACUGAUUUUUAUUUCACAAUAGUACAGUGAAAACCGCCACAAUUGCUUUUUCCAGCCACCAUAGUAGGGCUGCAGUGGUGUCAAAGAGGGGGAAAAUGUGUGAUGACAACCACAGAACCAGACACGUAGUACACACUACUCAAGCAAUAGCUAUAAAAGGCCACCAGGUGACAGUAUUGCCUUGUGAACACCCUGCUCCCUGUCCGUUAUGCAACCUUCAAAGGAGAAGGGGAAAGGUGUGCACACGAUCCCGGCCAGUAGGGGGCGAGCUGGAGCUGCACACCAACCCUCAUGUCGCCACGCAAAGUGUCAUUUACAAAAAAAAAAGGGGGAAAAACAAAGACGCUUCCUGUGCGGGACUCAAGCAACUACUUGAGGUAUCACACGUUGGAGACAUCUCUACUGCAGCUUCAGCUUCACCCAGGAUUUCAGUGUUCAGCGUCAUGCAGCACCAAGACCCUCCAAUCUUCAUGAAUACAAAAGAAGGCAAAUUCAUGACGUGCAAGAAGCUCCGACGGGAAUUCAAAGGCCGCCUCGCUGACGGACCGAAUGGAGCCAGGAAAGGUACGUCUAAUCAAUGUCACAUUUCCAUAUCCACGGCACUGUGGAAUAUAUGGAAUACAAUAUCCCAAUGAUAAGUCGUCAUCACGAAAUAAAAGGUUGAAAUUGUGAGAUACAAAGUCCUAAUGAUGAGUGCUGCGCAUGCGCCUCUCACUGGCGCCUUGGUCACAUGCAUGGCACUCUGCAUCAUUUCAACUUUUUAUCUCCCAAUUAUGACUUUCCUAUCUC